CGGCCUUUCAAAUGCUCUCCCAGGGGUCUCUAAUGCUCACUACCAUGUCCUGGCCUGUUCAAGUGUGCAGUGUUGCAGCAGUGCUGUUAGGAGAAGGCAACAGGUGGACCUCGCAGGCCAGGCAGCGCGGACAGCACUGCUCUAGCAGAAAGUCUAUGAUCUGAUAAGCAAGAAUGAAGGAACCCUGAGCGUGGGCCAGGAAACUUUUCUGUCUAGGGGAAGGUGCGGAUGAGAUGUUCUCCCACCACCUCUGUGCAGAGCCCGUGGAGAGCAGGAUUGAUGCACAGCUCAAAAGAGCAGAGUCUCCCCCAGCCUGGAGGGAAGCAUCACUGCAGCAGCCUAAGAGACAGUCACAGGAUCUUACUUGCACAGACCUGCUGUGGAAGCCCUACAAACAUGAGGUGACCACCACUGUGAGAAAAGCACACCCAGCUCCAGCUUCCCACACCACACCUGCCACUGCUUCCUAUGAGCAUCUUCCAUGGGGAUGACAAACCAGAGGUUCAAAGGCAAAGAACACAAGGAAGGCCAUCUGACAGCAAACACUGCAGAAUGUGAGUUAGAGGCUCCUGUAGUGCUCCUUGAAGAGCCAGGCCUGGAGGCAUCAACAGCUUCUCAGUCCUGAGGGAUCCGAUUUGUCUUUCCCAAGAGCUGCACGUCUCAAGAAACCUUCAGGAGAGAGAUCAACACUGUGCAGCUGUAGGGUCAGAAGGCAGAAGACACACUGGAAUUCCCUCACAGGCAAAGAUAGAUAGGGCUGUUUGAACUCCAUCCAUGCAGAACUUCAGGUCAAGGAUGUCAUCAGCUCUCUGAAUGGCCUGAUAGAGACGAUUCUGCAAGAAAGGCAACCACUAAGGCUUUCUGCUGCGGGCUGAAUCAGGGAAUGAGAACU